GAAGGGGUAUUAAUUAAACUAAAAACGCAGUCGUCGGCAAAGAUUUAGCCAAAGUGGGGCCAGCCCCGUAAAAUAGAAGGGUCAACUGCCAGUUGGUCAAUAUGAGUGGAACCCAAAAGGAUGUUACACAUUGGUGACGUGGCCCAACCGUUCGUAGCCGACAUCAACGGACCAACCUCAUUCAUGUAUCUUCCGACUAGCUUCUUCCGACAUUCACUUUGGUUCCUCUCUAAUCUUCUUAACCUUUUUGAGUUCUCAAUUUCGAUAUUUCAUGAUUUCAUCCCUACAUAAUUUUCUAGUAAUCGCUUUUUUUGUUCAUACAAGAGAAACGUUACUAUUUAUUUGCAUGUUCGUAACACCACACAUUCACCAAUAUAUUUCUCUAGUGUCAAUUAUUGGCCCACAAACUCAUAACUUUCCAAUCAUGAAAAAUACUGAUUUACAUCUACUACUUAAUACUAGUAGAAUAAAUUUCUCCGCACUUUCUUAUAGUACAGUGUGACUCAAAUGUAGUAUAAACGACACUAUUAGGGAAUAUCAGGACUUUAUCGGUUGAGACAAAUCACUUUCAGGCGUAGCACAUGGAAAGAUGCAAACGACGAGUUUGAUUACCUUACGUCAUGUACACCUGCGCAGAGAGUUUUUUUUUUUUUUUUUUUUGACGAAAGGCUUCACCUACGCAGAGAUUAAAAAGCUACAUGUAUUUUUGUGUGUUUGAUUUAAUUACUUAUAUUUAUAGAGAAAAAUGAACAUGGAAUAUGCACAUCGUGGAACAUGAACAUCGUGUUAAAAUGAUUUGUUUCAACCGGAUCAAAUCAGCCAGAAUUCAAAAAACAAAAUUCCUAAUUACUUCCUGUACAUCUAUUUUUAAUCAAAAACAUAAGUAAAUAAAACACAAAACGUUUUUAGCAAAAAAAAAACAAUGAAAAAAUAAUAUGCUGAGAUGAAGCAUUCAUCAUUAUUUUGCUAAACUAUCUUUAUAUAUUAAAUAAAUGGACUGAAUUUAUUAUUCAUUAUACUACAAAGUAAAGAAAAAAAAUCAGAAAAAUACCAUGGCAGAAUCUCGUUAUAUUGCAAUAGGAACUAAACUAUUACGUUCAGUUUUGUCAUAUGGUGCUAAAAUAUUUCAUAUUUUUAUAAAAAGACAAAAAUUAUAAGUAAAAGUUUGUUGGAAAAGUUUAUGAUCUAGAGGCUAAGAGUUAAUAAUUUUUUAGUGCUUUGAGGUUCCAUUCUUAAAAUAUAAUUUAUCUUGGUUUCAUACUAUUAUCAUAAUCUUCCAAAUUAUUUAAAAUAUACAAACUUCGG
rnacentral:lncRNA from 1 species